GCCCGCAUAGCCCAGGGGUAGAGCGUAUCAAUAGUAAUGAAUUCAAUUCAUGAUAAGGUCAUCAGUUCAAUUCUGAUUGUGGGCA